rnacentral:rRNA from 1 species
UGACGGUACCCGAUGAAUAANGGGCUCCUAACUCUGUGCCAGCANGAGCGGUAAUACAGAGGCCCCAAGCAUUACCCGGAUUCACUGGGCGUAAAGGGUGUCUAGGCGGCCAUAUUAGUCGUUCGUUAAAUCUGCGGGCCCAACCCGCAGGNCGCGGACGAAACGGUAUGGCUCGAGGGCGCGAGAGGUGCACGGAACUCAUGGUGGAGGGGUGAAAUCCGUUGAUAUCAUGGGGAACACCGAAGGCNAAGGCAGUGCACUGGUGCGUUCCUGACGCUCACACACGAAAGCCAGGGUAGCGAACGGGAUUAGAUACCCCGGUAGUCCUGGCCCUCAACGCUGUUCGCUCGUUCUACGGAGUAUCGACCCUCUGUGGGACUAAGGUAACCCGGUAAGCGAACCGCCUGGGU